CCUACGGGUGGCAGCAGUGAGGAAUAUUGGUCAAUGGGCGGGCGCCUGAACCAGCCAAGUCGCGUGAGGGAAGACUGUCCUAUGGAUUGUAAACCUCUUUUGUCGGGGAGCAAUGCCGGCUACGCGUGCCCGGAGGGAGAGUACCCGCAGAAUAAGCAUCGGCUAACUCCGUGCCAGCAGCCGCGGUAAUACGGAGGAUGCGAGCGUUAUCCGGAUUUAUUGGGUUUAAAGGGUGCGUAGGCGGAAUUUCAAGUCAGCGGUAAAAUGUCGGGGCUCAACCAGGGUCGGCCGUUGAAACUGGGGAUCUUGAGUGGGCGAGAAGUAUGCGGAAUGCGUGGUGUAGCGGUGAAAUGCAUAGAUAUCACGCAGAACUCCGAUUGCGAAGGCAGCAUACCGGCGCCCGACUGACGCUGAGGCACGAAAGCGUGGGGAUCGAACAGGAUUAGAUACCCGGGUAGUC
rnacentral:rRNA from 1 species